rnacentral:tRNA from 1 species
GGGGGCAUAGCUCAGUGGUAGAAUGCUUGCCUAGCAUGCCUGAUGCCCUGGAUUCAAUACCCAGUACCACCA